CACAACAUGGCCACAUCACCCUUCAGGUUGAUAAGGCAAACAUGUUAGCAAACUGCUGCCUAUUUGCACAUCCAGCUGACACGGAGCAUCACAAGCAUUCAUUUGGAAGUUGCUUUUCUUGCCAAAAGUCAAAUAUUCACUUUCACUUUUUAGCUAGUUUUAAGUCUCCACCAACUUCUGAAGAAAACAAAUCUGACUGAGCUGCUAAAUGCUAUUCUGCUAUGUUGACAUGCUAGUGGCUAACUGCGUCUGUCUGCCGUUUCCUGCUGGCCAGCUUGUCUUCAGGUGAAGAGGACAUGAUGUUCCAUGAAGACUGUUGGCUGUGACUGAACCUCAGAAGACCGAACACAGAGGAUGCUUCAGGAGUUGAUGCGGAGACCUGCAACACCGGGAAACUGAACGCUGCUGACCACGUUCACCUGACACGAGGAAGUGUUUCAGAAAACACAGUGUGCAGAUAAAACAUACACCAUCAUCAUACUUCCUUCUAUUUAACCAAACUAAAAUCUUUUCCAUCACUAUUCUCCUUGACCAGCCUCUGCUUAGUGCUUAGUCAUAGUAUCACCAGAUGAACUACAGAAGAAUUUGCUGGUUAGAUUACAAAUUUAACCUGCAAUAUGUAAAGCAGUUAAGUGGUGGAAGAAGCAUUCACAUGCUUUAUUCACGAAAAAGUGGCAAGAAACUCUAUUACAAGAGAACAAUCCCACAGUCAAAAUGUUACUGAAGUAAAUGUACAUAAGUAUCAGCAAAAUGUACUCAAGUAUCACAAGUAAAAGUUCUCUUUAUCCAGAAUAGCUAAUUUAAUAGUGUUAUUAAGCUGGCAAAUACAUACAUACAGUUGGAGCCAAAAAGUACCAUAUUUUUCCUUGAAAUGUAGUGCAGUUGACAGGCAUUAAAUUAAUUGUUACUUUUCAUAACUGAUGCAAUGAAUUACACUAUUUUACUAGUAAAAUCCUCUUGAAUAUACAUAGAAUAAAAAUCACCUAAUUGCAUUAAAUUCUUAUAUUUGAACAGCACCAUAACAGCCUUUCAAAUGAUGAUUUUGGUGUUGAAAACUAAAAUACAUAUAAGGGUAGCUGCAACCUUUACACUCGUGAAAUCGUGCAUGAAAAUCCAGGCUUUUGGCAAUUUAAUUAGUCAGAUUUAAUGUAAUCUGUUACCUCGCUACUCACGCCUCGUCUCAUGAGGCCUCACGGAGGAUUUGUGAGGUCCUUUCUUCGGUGUGUCGGCCCACCACCAUCUCCUCCACCUCCACCCACCCUCAGUGCAACGCGGUUGCAUUAUUAAACUUGUAUAAGAUCAUUAGCAUACAAAGCAGGAAACCUACCGCGCUGCAUACAUAUUUAUCUGGACGUGCCUGACUUGUACGUGCAUACACUCAUACUGUAACCCCUUUACACACAGGCGUGACUGUCUUUCUGCUGCAGGAGUUCUGUGAACAGACACUAUGAAGUGGAUGUUACUAUUGUAGAAGCACGACCAGUUUUAAAGGAUAGAUAUUUAUUUGAGCAACAUCUGAAGAAAGACGAGUUAGCAUUUGCCAUAAACUAUAUAUUAAAGCUAGUGCGGCUGCCUGUAAGACCAAGAAAAUGUGUGUAUUUGGAAACCGAGCAGAUGGAGUUUGGUUAGGUUCAUCAGAGCAGUUUGCUUCGAGCAUAUUAAAUAUAGUUUACACACAGAGGAAUAUACAUAUUCAUCUGCUGCACUCCGAAGCACAUAAUCAAACAGAGAGAAAGACAAACAGAGGGCAUGUUUUUGUCAAUACUUGGGUUACCUCUGACUAUUGAAUGACUGUGAAAUCAUCUCCUUUUCUCUCUCCUUCCCUUGUUCCCUUCCUCUUCAAAUCCACCUUUUCUCCACAACCAUGCUAUCCCUGUUCCCUUUCCUUUUUGGAGAUCAUUUUCUACACUUUCUACCUACCUGAUGACAGCACAAUCCCUCCUUCUUUUUUUUUGACAAUGCGGAUUCCUCCGUUAAUAUCCCUUUCUCCUUCCUUCUUUUUCCUCCCUCCUGUAAGAUUGCUGUUGUGUCUUAUGGCUUUUUAUUCCUACGUGAUGGUAGAUGGGUUCAUGUAGGAGUAGAAGCCACUAAACACGCGGUGAGUGCUCAACGCGCUGGCCAACACACACAGCGAGCUUCCCGUGGCUAUGACAGCUGCCAUGUUCACAUCAAUGGCCCUGCCCAUUACCAAGAAUAUGCACACAGUUAAAAAAUAGUCCAGGGUAUUCACUGCAGGGAGUGGCUACUGUUUCAGACCAGAUUUGUUAUGUGAAUGACUUAAUUAAAUGGUUAUUAUACUUCAUUGAACAGUUGGUUUUAAGACAAUAGAGCAGAAUGUUGAUGUAGGCUACGGGUGGUCUGACUAAUCAAUCUGAGCAAAUCUGAAGUUGUGAACAGACAUACUUUUUCACAAAGACUUUCCACCUGCAUGCUGGCUGCACGUGCCCUGAAUUUCAAACUCAAUCCUCUGCCCCGAGGUCGCUGUGCAAAACUGGAGCUGGAUAGCUCUCAAAAUAGAGAUCAGGAGAAGUGGAUGCCACAAUUGAGAUGAAACAACUUGCAGAGGUAGGUCAUCAAUGUUGUUUAAUAAUGUCCAUAAUCUGAAGGGACUACCUAGUCUCACAUAAAGCGAAGGUGAGAACAUACAGCAAGCUGUUACAGGAUCGUUUGACUCUUUUACCAACCUACAGAAGUGUGAAAAUAAACCCUCUCUUAGAAAUAAAGCACACAGUUUACUACACAUGACACACAUUUCACAUAAAUAAUUUCAUACAAACAAAAGUCACAUUUUGGACAUAUUUGGAAUUAUUGCACAUCAGAAAUAUGAAUUCCACAUGCUGUUGCUGUCCUGUGUUCAGUUUUCAGCUUUGUAGUCACGUUUGUGUCCAAUUCAGUUCAAUAUUUACUCAACUUUUAGCUCUGUUUUGGUCUCCACCAACUCUUGAGAGAAAUAUCUGACCCCUUUAGCUGCUAAAUGCUGCAAAUGCUCAUAUAAGGGAUCUCUUCAGACCAGCACUGUUUCUUUAAAGCUUUUAGCACUAGACUGAGAAGCGUAACUCAGCUCAGUGUGCAACCCCUAAACUUCCUGUCUACUCAUAAAUUAGAUCCAGGCAAGCUCAAAUGGCUAAUAAUGGUAUUUAUCAGCAGUAACUUUAUGCCUGAACUGAACUCAGUGUCAACCAAUUAAGCAAGAUAUUCAAAUGAUCCUGCUCCUGUUGGGUCCAGUUGGGUGCUGUGGGGUUUGACUUUAAAUGUCAACCUCCUGUUUGUUUUUUAUGUAAAAAAUAAGCUCCUCACUUUCUCCUCCUGAGCAGAAUCUGAAUAAAGCCUAAAUGGACUGUUGUCGGAAACCAUAAGCUGAUUUAGUAGUCCUGGGAUAUUACAAGAAUGUGACACAUGCUUGCAAUUGUGUGACAUUACUUCUGCGUUGUUAUGAGGUGGAUAAUUAUUCAAGAUGAAAUUGCAAUAGAUAUGGUCUGCUGAGGUUUAAUGAUUUAUUCAAGGCUGUAAGUUGUUAUGAUCUAAUAUUCAGCGCGGUGGGAUGGGAAGUUUCUUUUGCUUGCAUUAUCAGUUCAAUUUAUUUUUCAAGGUCUCACUCCUACAUAGAGUUCUUUAUAGAGACAUGAGGAGGUCUGAGAGAAUAGCAGAGACACAUAGGAGGAGGCUGAGAGAGGAUUUGAUCCUGGACCAGCGGGGAUCCAUGGGAAUCUAAAGGUGGGUAUCAACCAUUGUGGCAUCUGUGGGAAAGAGCCUGAAUUAUUUAAAACAGCUCUGGCAUAUGAAGGGGAAGUUGUGUUUGAAUAGAUUGUUGCCAUCCUCUGUUUUUUUUGCCCGAGGGUGUAUACGCCUUAUUCCUGCGUUCCCCCGGUUUUGAUCUGACUGCUAUAAACCUCAUAUUUCCAAAAUGUCAAAAUGUUCGGCGAAAUAAAACAGCCUCAUUUUGACUUUGACAGCCGUGCAUUUUUUUUUUUUUAAAUCAUGCAAUGGAGUCCUCAGGUUAUGAAACUUGAUGGAGUUAUACAAGGUCACAUAAUCCUCAAGUUCAGGUAAAAUCAUGAAAUUCAUCAGAAUUGGAGUAAUGGGGGUUUUUCAUCUGACAGCUGCAAUAAUGUAGUGUGUUUGUGUACAGUAGGCUUAAUGUAUGAGUGUUGUACUACUGUAUCCACCGCCCUCAGGCUACACUUUCUUUCUGUAAUAAAUAAUGCUCUUUUGUGUUCUCUGCUUCAUUUGUUCCCUGUUGUAACGUCAGUGCUGCUCAAUAAAUUAUGAAUCACGCCUGUUCAA